AAAUUGAAGAGUUUGAUCAUGGCUCAGAUUGAACGCUGGCGGCAGGCCUAACACAUGCAAGUCGAGCGGUAGCACAGAGAGCUUGCUCUCGGGUGACGAGCGGCGGACGGGUGAGUAAUGUCUGGGAAACUGCCUGAUGGAGGGGGGAUAACUACUGGAAACGGUAGCUAAUACCGCAUAACGUCGCAAGACCAAAGUGGGGGACCUUCGGGCCUCAUGCCAUCAGAUGUGCCCAGAUGGGAUUAGCUAGUAGGUGGGGUAACGGCUCACCUAGGCGACGAUCCCUAGCUGGUCUGAGAGGAUGACCAGCCACACUGGAACUGAGACACGGUCCAGACUCCUACGGGAGGCAGCAGUGGGGAAUAUUGCACAAUGGGCGCAAGCCUGAUGCAGCCAUGCCGCGUGUGUGAAGAAGGCCUUCGGGUUGUAAAGCACUUUCAGCGGGGAGGAAGGCGUUAAGGUUAAUAACCUUGGCGAUUGACGUUACCCGCAGAAGAAGCACCGGCUAACUCCGUGCCAGCAGCCGCGGUAAUACGGAGGGUGCAAGCGUUAAUCGGAAUUACUGGGCGUAAAGCGCACGCAGGCGGUCUGUCAAGUCGGAUGUGAAAUCCCCGGGCUCAACCUGGGAACUGCAUUCGAAACUGGCAGGCUAGAGUCUUGUAGAGGGGGGUAGAAUUCCAGGUGUAGCGGUGAAAUGCGUAGAGAUCUGGAGGAAUACCGGUGGCGAAGGCGGCCCCCUGGACAAAGACUGACGCUCAGGUGCGAAAGCGUGGGGAGCAAACAGGAUUAGAUACCCUGGUAGUCCACGCCGUAAACGAUGUCGAUUUGGAGGUUGUGCCCUUGAGGCGUGGCUUCCGGAGCUAACGCGUUAAAUCGACCGCCUGGGGAGUACGGCCGCAAGGUUAAAACUCAAAUGAAUUGACGGGGGCCCGCACAAGCGGUGGAGCAUGUGGUUUAAUUCGAUGCAACGCGAAGAACCUUACCUGGUCUUGACAUCCACAGAACUUUCCAGAGAUGGAUUGGUGCCUUCGGGAACUGUGAGACAGGUGCUGCAUGGCUGUCGUCAGCUCGUGUUGUGAAAUGUUGGGUUAAGUCCCGCAACGAGCGCAACCCUUAUCCUUUGUUGCCAGCGGUCCGGCCGGGAACUCAAAGGAGACUGCCAGUGAUAAACUGGAGGAAGGUGGGGAUGACGUCAAGUCAUCAUGGCCCUUACGACCAGGGCUACACACGUGCUACAAUGGCAUAUACAAAGAGAAGCGACCUCGCGAGAGCAAGCGGACCUCAUAAAGUAUGUCGUAGUCCGGAUUGGGAGUCUGCAACUCGACUCCAUGAAGUCGGAAUCGCUAGUAAUCGUAGAUCAGAAUGCUACGGUGAAUACGUUCCCGGGCCUUGUACACACCGCCCGUCACACCAUGGGAGUGGGUUGCAAAAGAAGUAGGUAGCUUAACCUUCGGGAGGGCGCUUACCACUUUGUGAUUCAUGACUGGGGUGAAGUCGUAACAAGGUAACCGUAGGGGAACCUGCGGUUGGAUCACCUCCUUACCUUAAAGAA
rnacentral:rRNA from 1 species